CAGGUUGUAGCCUAAUCUGGUAAGGCAUUUACUUUGGGUGUAAAAUAGUGUAAGUUCAAAUCUUACCAACCUGA
rfam:Rhizopus oryzae RA 99-880 supercont3.83 mitochondrial scaffold, whole genome shotgun sequence.